CCUACGGGUGGCAGCAGUGAGGAAUAUUGGUCAAUGGACGAAAGUCUGAACCAGCCAAGUCGCGUGAAGGAUGACUGCCCUAUGGGUUGUAAACUUCUUUUAUAAAGGAAUAAAACGAGGCACGUGUGCCUUUUUGCAUGUACUUUAUGAAUACGGAUCGGCUACCUCCGUGCCAGCAGUCGCGGUAAUACGGAGGAUCCGAGCGUUAUCCGGAUUUAUUGGGUUUAAAGGGUGCGUAGGUGGUUAAUUAAGUCAGCGGUGAAAGUUUGUGGCUCAACCAUGAAAUUGCCGUUGAAACUGGUUGACUUGAGUAUAUUUGAGGUAGGCGGAAUGCGUGGUGUAGCGGUGAAAUGCAUAGAUAUCACGCAGAACUCCGAUUGCGAAGGCAGCUUACUAAGCUAUAACUGACACUGAAGCACGAAAGCGUGGGGAUCAAACAGGAUUAGAUACCCGGGUAGUC
rnacentral:rRNA from 1 species